UAUCUUAGAGAAACCAAUUUAAGUGGAAGGAUAUAGUUUUUUUUAAACAAUGCUUACACACAACAUUCUGGUCCACACUCACACCAGAUGGUGGCGGUAAUGCACCAAAAAGUUGUUUGCCAACCGCCAAUAAACCUUAAUAGAAGAAGAAGACAUCAAGAAGAUCGAGGCAGAUGGACUGUACGCUGUUAAAACUUCACCGAGGUAUGUCACACCGUGUUAUCACACUGUUCUACUAACAAAUUAAUUUCUUAUUAUGUUGUGUACACGAUAACUUAAAGGUUUGGUGUUUUUAUUGCUCCUUAGAUCGGUGUUGGACCGGCGAACACUUUAGGCCUAUGUUAUCAGAGGACUUGCUAACAUGAAGAAAACGGCCCAGAGGUUCCACCUGAGAGCCGGGACUGUCGAAUAGUAAGAGACAACGAAAAGGGGGGAACUGUCUUUAAGCUGUGGAGUCAGAUGGAGGGCUCACAUUUACCUCAAAAACGGCAUUGCAGAAGACUCGAACAACUAGAACCAACUCAAGCACACAACGGUGACACACAUUUGUAAGACCUUUCCCUGUGAUAUAAAAUUUCCCUGUGGUAAUUAUUCAGAUUCUCCUCAUUCUCAUUGUGUAGCACUGUUUUAAGCUUAGUGAAUAUUAUGUACAGUAAGCACUAGAAGUAGAGACUUGUACUACUUGGGGUAGUUUUAAAUUAACUUUAAUUUUGUUUUUGAUGCAAAAAUUAUCAAAAGAAAAGAUGUAGUGUAGUAAAAGAUGUUUUGUGUAGUAAUUCAAUUGUUUUAAUAUGAAUAUUGUUUUAGUGUUCAGGACAGUAAUUGUCUGUACAUCUAAAUCAGUUCUUUAAACUUUUUGUUGUCUAAGACCUUGAUAUUAUACCUUAAGGGAAAA